CUGGCACGACGGCUCAUGCGAAGAUGCCCGAGUGCAUGCCGAGCAGAUGAUCGCUAACAUCGAUCGUCUUCGACAAGGUGGAUAGGAU
rnacentral:sRNA from 1 species